UUUGAGCCGAUGAUCUAUUUGCCAAUAUUCUGAUCAUCAUAUGCGGACACAUUAAUUAUUAUGACAUUACUCAUGUUUCAAUUGCUACAAUUUUCUCCCUAUAGAACAAUGCAUAAACACUAAAUUAUCUCAUUCACUCAAUAAUAAUACUAAAAAAAUUGCAGCAGUGUUGUAAUAUAACACAAGUACUAAUACAAAAUCACAAAAUUGCAGCAGUGAUGUAAUUUAUCUGUUUUUAUCUGUCUUUGGAUCUUGUUUGAUGAUAGAUACAC
rnacentral:lncRNA from 1 species